GUACUCUCACACUCUCUGAUCCUUUGGAUUCGGGGAGCGGUGGACUUGGGUGUUUGCUGCUUUUCCUUGUGGCUCACCUCAAAUGCAUUAGUGCAUCUCCUGGUUGGACAUAGUACGGCGUGAUAAGUGUCUUCGCCGGCACCUCCUCACAGAGGGUGGCCGAUCGGGAGCUCUGUGCUUUCAAACCGUCUUCGGACAAUCUCUGACA
rnacentral:misc_RNA from 1 species